rnacentral:rRNA from 1 species
CCCCGGCGAGGGGAGUGAAAAAGAACCUGAAACCGUGUACGUACAAGCAGUGGGAGCACAGGUUUACCUGUGUGACUGCGUACCUUUUGUAUAAUGGGUCAGCGACUUAUAUUCUGUAGCAAGGUUAACCGUAUAGGGGAGCCGUAGGGAAACCGAGUCUUAACCGGGCGUUAAGUUGCAGGGUAUAGACCCGAAACCCGGUGAUCUAGCCAUGGGCAGGUUGAAGGUUGGGUAACACUAACUGGAGGACCGAACCGACUAAUGUUGAAAAAUUAGCGGAUGACCUGUGGCUGGGGGUGAAAGGCCAAUCAAACCGGGAGAUAGCUGGUUCUCCCCGAAAGCUAUUUAGGUAGCGCCUCGUGAAUUCAUCUCCGGGGGUAGAGCACUGUUUCGGCUAGGGGGCCAUCCCGGCUUACCAACCCGAUGCAAACUGCGAAUACCGGAGAAUGUUAUCACGGGAGACACACGGCGGGUGCUAACGUCCGUCGUGAAGAGGGAAACAACCCAGACCGCCAGCUAAGGUCCCAAAGUCAUGGUUAAGUGGGAAACGAUGUGGGAAGGCCCAGACAGCCAGGAUGUUGGCUUAGAAGCAGCCAUCAUUUAAAGAAAGCGUAAUAGCUCACUGGUCGAGUCGGCCUGCGCGGAAGAUGUAACGGGGCUAAACCAUGCACCGAAGCUGCGGCAGCGAACGUAUCACCCAAGACAACUUUACGGAGUUGACGAUUGACGGAGCGAAGCGACGUCAAAGCGUUCAUUAAAGUCGAGUUGGCUUAGGGAUACGUUCGUUGGGUAGGGGAGCGUUCUGUAAGCCUGUGAAGGUGUGUCGUGAGGCAUGCUGGAGGUAUCAGAAGUGCGAAUGCUGACAUAAGUAACGAUAAAGCGGGUGAAAAGCCCGCUCGCCGGAAGACCAAGGGUUCCUGUCCAACGUUAAUCGGGGCAGGGUGAGUCGACCCCUAAGGCGAGGCCGAAAGGCGUAGUCGAUGGGAAACGGGUUAAUAUUCCCGUACUUGGUGUUACUGCGAAGGGGGGACGGAGAAGGCUAUGUUGGCCGGGCGACGGUUGUCCCGGUUUAAGCGUGUAGGUGUGUGUUCCAGGUAAAUCCGGUU